GCGAAGGUGGCGGAAUUGGUAGACGCGCUAGCUUCAGGUGUUAGUGUCUUAACGGACGUGAGGGUUCAAGUCCCUCUCUUCGCACCACAC
rnacentral:tRNA from 1 species